rnacentral:misc_RNA from 1 species
AUGAAAUGCAAGGGCGCUCUUUCUAGACGCCCGACCCAUUCUCAUCUCACACUGUGCACACACUAUUUUUACACAAUUUUUAUACUCAAAGUCUAAGAAUGUAAAAAGUCUCCUUAUCGGAGCAUGAAAUAAUA